GCAUAGAGAUAUUAUGAAGGAAGAUGAAGAACAUAGCAAUCACUUCUCUGUAAUAGUUGUGUUCUGCCUACCCUAUACUCGGGAGGAGGACUAUGAAUGACUUAACACGACUAUCACUCCUGCGAUCUACCACACGGUCCGGAAUUGCAAUCACAGAAAAAUACGGUGUAGGCACCACGCCUACACAGUAUUCACCACUCACCCAUGAUAUCAAUGAGCAAGCACUAUAUGAUCCUAAACUGGAAUAUAAUUUUAAUCUAACUAUGCC
rnacentral:lncRNA from 1 species